UAUUUCUUCACCACGCUCGCUAAAUUGCGAUCACCCUGCCAGUGAUUUUUUUACUUUUUUUGGCAACAGCCCAUACCUUUUCAAUUGGGAAUUUUUAGCGCGAUAAACUUCAAAAUUGGGAAAAAUGAACAAACCUUAAUAAAGAAAUCAUUUUGAAAAGUUUAAUUUUAAGGUAAAUUUAUUUCAUUCAAAUAUGCACUGAGGUUGAACAGACAGUACAGACAGGUUAUUUUCUGAUGUCACAGGAUCUGAUAGCUCAGAUAGCUUAGGGUCACCAUGAGCUUCUGUUGAUUUCUGAGGGUCAUUUUGUGGGGACUCAGAUUUCUUGUACAGAUCACUUUGCUUUUCUGACGUUUGAUUUGAAUUUAAUUUCUCUUUAACUUUACCAAAAGAUGCUCGAAUGACCGGAGUACCGAUGACGUGUUUAAGUUUUAUUUUUCUUAUUAUAAUAUUUGGAAUUAUGCAACAUUUUUCGAUAAUUUAGGUAAGUUUAUAACAAUUUUUUUUCCCGACUAAUUUUGACGCAUGAAAAAGCAUUUAGCGACCGUGAUGAAAGUCAUACUAAAUGCCAUACUAUGGCAUGACCCGUUUUAUGUAAACAACACGUUUCGAGUUGGCAACAAAAUUCUGCGAAUAAACCAUAAUUAGAGUCGGAAUUUUUAUGAUUAUUUGCAUCGUUUUAGUUCAACAUUCACAAGAAAUCAAUCUAAUUGGGAAAAAUCAUCUUGUUUUGGGGAAUUUUUAAGCAUUUUUUUGGAAUUUUGACCAUUUUUGUCAGUUGGGAAGACGCCGAAUUUCGGAGUCAAAUCGGCACAAAAAAAAUCACUGCCUGCGUUCCGUGCGUAUUUUCAGGGGACCCUGGGUUUUUGACGUUUCAUUCCUGGUGUUUAUUAUAUAUAUAUAGAGGGUAUUUUUUGUAAAGAUAGACUUCUAUGGUCUUAUUGAUAGAAUUUCAGACUCCUGUGGUCAUUUUAUACUAGGCAAUGUCUAAACUAGCUAAAAAAUCAGCUCAGCGUUAUGGGUCUCUUGAGCUGAAAAAAAUCUCUUAUUGAAAUCUAAUUAGAAAUUGUGCCAGAUGUCUAACAUGCAAAAAUUUCAUCAGAUGAAAUGCAGCGAACUCGCCUUGUACUUUAAAAUAUUUCUAAUCAAUUUUUCUUUUGAUCUGGCAUAAAAUAAACCAUGCAACAUAAUUUGGACACAAUAGGAGGGAUCGUGUUUGUAUACAAAUCUCUUGUAUUUUCUAUUCUUAGAACUGAUAAGACAAAUAUCGGGUGGGCAGACACCGAGGGUCCAUGAUUUUUUGUAAACAGUAAUGUUUUUCUAACGGCUUAAACUUUCUUAAAAAAAACGAAUGAUAUCAAUAAUCUUUUGAUCAAUGGAAAGAAUAUAAAACAAGCAAUUUAUUGAUUACUCUUAAUUAUCAUUUCGAAAUAAAAUGGAUUUAUUAUGAACGCUUAACUUACAGUGUUUUUUCUAAAAAUUUGGAGCGUCCCUACGCCGCUAUUAAAAUCAUACAGGGCUCGAGAUAAGAUGCGUAAUAGCGUAAAUUACGCUUUGAAAUAAUGCAUAUACGCAUGUCUGUUUAUUUUUUAGCGUAUAAAAACGUACAUAAAAUUACAGAAACACAUGCAAUGACUUCUUAUUAGGGUAAACAAAAUCUAAAUUGUCUGGAUGCUUUACAUAACAGAGCACGAUCUGCAUUCAUUCUGCCACAUUGAACGUACACAGGCAUUGAAUGGUAACUCUAUAAACCUAUGUGAAACUAUAUAAUACACUUAAUGUGUGCGCAAAUCAAAUUGUUAGGAAUUAAUAUUGAUGGUAAGGUAGUGUAUUUUAAAGCAGUGUCGAUUUAAAAUAUCAACUUCUGGUGUGGAGUAAAGAACAACAUGUUUCUUUCUAAGAAUGUAUGUAGUGAACAAACGUGCUAGACAUUCUUUUAACCAACAAUAAAUGAUUUCCAAAACAUGGUUAAAGGUAUAUUGAAUAAUCUAUUGGAUUAGGCAGUUAGUGUGAAGCCAAAGCAAGUCAAUGGGAAAAAAAGAAGCAAAAACUUGAAUGCUGAAUUGAAACUCAGGGGUCACGCUGUCAAUCACCACUUGAGCCAUUUGCGGCAAAAAAUUAAAUGUGGGUCCGAAAUUUUCUAAUGGGCGAAAAUGGCCCGAAGCUAUCUGUCUGCAAAACUACGAAUAUUGCCAGUUUUACGAACCAAAAGGUGUGAAAAAUCGAUAAUCUGUGUAGACACAACAUCCGUUAUUGAAAGGGAGGGAGCCACUUCGCAAUUUUUUUAUUUGAUCAGGCAGUUAAUUGGCGAUAAUUAGAUUAUUGAAUAACAAACUGGAUAAUUAUAAUCACCAUUUUGUGCACCUGAUACGAUUUUAUGAGCAGUCGGCCGUUAGACAAAUUUUCUAUGAUUGCCGAGGGUUAGUUUGGGCAAAAACAAAUAAAAAUGCUUUAGACAAGCAGUAAUUGUAGGUAUUGAAUAGCUAUGGUGAUAGAAAAGCAGUAAAACGUAGGUAUUUUAUCAAAUAUUUAAUUCCAACUUACGUUUUCCGAAUUUGUCACCCGUUUUCGCGACCGUGAUUUUCGGAUAUUUCUGUCAUUUCUGACGAGAUUUUUUAGUGCAAUAAAAAGCCAAUAAAAAGUCUACAUUUAAGAGAAAUAUGACAACUGUUGCAAAAGGAGCUCUUACUUUGAAGUAUUUUUCAAGAAUAAAACAUGCGAAGGACCCCACCCACUUGUAGGCAAUGUGCAAAAUAAGACAUUGUUUUUUUUAAAACAUUUUUUUUUCUUUUUUGACAUCUUUAUUUUAAAUGUGAUUUUCAGAAUUUUUUUAUUAAAUGGCAGAUGUUUAUAAAAAUGAUAAUUUUAGAAAUUAACACAAAUUGAUUUUUCUAAAUAGCUUUUUAAAGGGUUACUAAGAAAUAUGUUUUAAAAUGGUUAUUCAUUUUAAAAAGAUAUUUAAAUGAGAAAAUAUGAAAAUCGUAAGCAUUUCAAAACUUUUUGAAUUUUUAAAAUCCAUAAAUGAGCGAAAAAGUUAUUAAAAAUUAAAAAUUCUGAUCCCAUACAAAACAGGUGUUAAUGCGUGACGUCACGGCGAUCUCUCCUUUAAGUUAUACACACAAGUUUCAUGGGUACACCUGUCUGCAAUAUUUUGUUCGCCAUUGCAGUUGUGACCUGAUCAGGGUACUCUUCAUUUUGAAAAACAAAUAGGAGCUAUAGAACUUAAACCUUCUAACUAACCUAAGGUAUGUUUUUCAUUAAUUUUUGUGAAAAUGGUUAUGUUGAUAAAUCAGUUUAAUCCAUAAAUAUGCAAAAUUUUGAUCUUGAUUUUCAAAUUAACCAUGUGCUCUGAACUUUUUCAUGAUGUCAUCACUUUUUCACCAGAGACUGUGAGAUACUGCAAUUCGACACUGGUUAGCAGUGUUUUCCCUUGACUUUUGAAAAUGAGGGUCAUUGUGACCCCCAAUAUUUCACAUCUGGGGGUCAUUUCCAAAUUUUGGGGGUCAUACAGAUAUACUUUUAGUACUUUGAAUAAAACUUUGUUUUACUUAUACUAGUGAUUAUACAGAUUGAAGUGUUUCCUCAUAUUUGUCACUGAAUAAAAUGCCGGGAUAAAGAUAGCUGAUAGUUGACUUUUUACUUAUAUAUGUGCUAAAAUAGGUUUUAAAAUAGGUUUUAGUAUUUUUUACCAGGCAGUGUUAUAGUAGAAACUGGUGAUUUGAACCGUUGGUCCUACUGUACUUGCUGCCGAGAACGUCAUGAACAUCGUCAGCCUGCUUUGCUUUAGAGCCAUUUUUGUUUCUAAUAAACAGCAGACUGAUACUACUGAUACUAGUAGCGAGUAGUGAUAACAACUGUUACAAAGUGUUAAUCAGUCAAAGUAUCAGACUGGGUAUUAAAUUUGUGAAAUGUGAAUCGACACAAAUAUAGAAUAUUGGUGACGCAGUCUGCAUAUAAUCUUGAAACUGAAAGUAAAUUUUCAGAAAAUCACUCUUUGUACAUGCUGUAAACAAAAUUGGCCUGAUUUAGAUUUUCAAGAAAUUGCGUCCACCUUGAUGCACAGAAUUUAUUUUUACGGGUCAUUUCUCAGAAAAGUGCGACUAUGACUCAGGAUUUGUGCGUCAGGGAAAACCCUGGGUUAGUUAACCAAAUCAGGGGGUUUCGCCAUAACUUUAUUAAUAGACGUGACCCUCAGAAAAUAAAAAUAGCGUCAGUUAAGUUAUGGUAGCCAGAAAUAGGCAGCGUCUGCCCAUUCAGUAACUGGAGAUCCAGCCUGCACUCUAGCCGUCUAGGAAACAGAUGCCUAGCCUAUUCUCUAGAGUUUUUCUAGGUGUCCAGUAAUAGUUUCCUCUUGGUUGUUGUAAUCAGUUAAUUAAAAAAAAAUUGUGCUUCCCAAAAGGCAAAGGGCAAACAUAUAGUUGCCGCUUUGUCUGUCUGUCUGUCACACUUUUAUCCGGAGUAUAACUUGAAAAGUAUUAAUGACAUUUGAUUUGAGUCUUUUUCAGGUAAAUUGCAACAUCAGCAGGGUUUCCCAUUCAUGUAAAUAUGUACGUUUUCCACGUAUAAAUUUUGAUCUGAAACAUACAGAAAAUUGCUCCAGUACGUAUUUUCACGCAACCAAAUUGCCAACCAGGAAGAUGCUAAAUUGUUCUAUAUCACAAUAACAGCGAACUUACAAUGUAAUCGAUCUGAAGUAGCUGAAAAAUGAACAGUUUGUGGAAUUCCAGUGUCUAUUUUUAGUCGUGUCUGCAGGGCUUGAGCAAGGGAGCGACUUGAGCGAAAUAGUCGCUUUGUAGCUCCCCACUUCGCUCUAAUCUUAGUUUCUUACAUCAAAGCUAAAUUCACACACCUCCAUUUAUCUUGACACUUGACUGGAAUACACGAAAGCAUAAUUUAAGCCCCGCCUUCUUCAGAUUACUGAGAAGUGCAAAGGUGACACUUGUUUUGUAAACUGACUGUUGAUAAACAAAGCAGUAGGGAUUUAUAUUACAUAAGCUUACACAUUCUUUUUUGACCUUUAGAAGGUAUCUUACCGUGACCGGCUCGAGUAAUUUCCUUAAAUCCACGUAAUUUUACUCCUAUUUUUCAAAACCCAAACUUUAGAAACAUAAUAUUAUCACUGACACUUCCUGUGAAUAGAAUAAUGUAACUUUCAGUUAGGCAAAUUUUUGAGACACCAGCAUAUCAAAGAGACACCAGCUGAUCAAAGAAGAGGUGUAUUCUGUCACUGUGUGAUGUCAUAGUGAUGUCACUGCUAUUGACAUGUAUUUAAUUCAUAUACUUGGUAUUUAAAGUGACUGACUUUGAGUGCAGGAGCUUGAUUUAUUUUUUGCUGAUAUAGAAUUAACAGGGGUGGUAUAGUACGUCAUCAACAGGUGCGCGCAACACUUCCCGAUGCGGCAUUUUUGUGUCAAAACAUCUCGAUUCGGUACAUGAAAGAUGAAAAAGGAAACAAAACUUCUAGUCUGCAUCAAUGGAAUUGUCAAUAUAUGUUAAAAAGGUUUGCUGAGUGAUUGGCAUGCAAGACAUAAUUGACGUAUUAUAUUUUCCAAAAGCUGUACGACAUAAUAUUGGAGAAGUGGAGAACAUCCUCUAACGGAAUUACCCCACAGACAAGGAUUUCAACGCUAAAUUAGGUCUCCGUACCAAACACGAAUAUGUCGGUUGCUGUUUGAAGGGCCACGUGUUCAUCACAAUUGAUCGGGAAAAAUGAGAAAUUACUGUAUCGCGCCAAGGAAAUGUUCUUAUUAAGGGGUUUUAGAUGUGCGCAGGGAAGGAACAAGAGUGACUGCAACCGAAUUAUAAUUACCACGUAGCAGAAUGGGACAUCGAUUGAAUCUACACUAGAAAGCGGUUCAGGAUUUAACAUUUGACUAAUGUUCAGAUUUUGCUUGCAAAUCUUAGUGCACCCAAUUACAUGUUAAAACUCGAAGUGAGCUUGAACAGUGGUAGAACAAUUUUACUUGCAAUGUUAAAUUAUUUUACUUUUC